rnacentral:lncRNA from 1 species
UGCACACCCGAGCAGAACCGAUUUUCCUGCUUCCAGAUUUGUCAGGGCCGGGCUGUCUCAACUCUCAAUGUCCCUCCUGCCCUACAGUUCGUGAGCACCCCCCCCCAGCUGCCCUCCUCUGCUGUAACCUCCCUGUGUGCCAGCAGGGACCCAUCCCAAAGGGCUCCUGAGCCUCGCCGUGCUCUCCACACAAUUUUUGUGAAAGCAAAGCGCAGAUGCCCAACUGGAACCCUGCUCAGAGCCGGCUGUUUGCCCCCGCGUGGAGUCUCAGCUCCCUCCUCCCCGCAGCAGGGCUGCCUCCAGCCGUCUCCCGGUGACUCAGUGGCUGCGGUUUGGGAGCUGAGCGGUGACACACUCAUAGUGCUCAGCCUCAAUGUGCUUCACGGAGCAAAUCCCCGCUCUCAGGGCUCUGCUGCCACUGGGACAGCACAGGAAAGCCCCAAGUGGGACGGGUUUCUGGGAACACUGACUGGCUCCAGCUCGCUCUGUGGCUUCGCUUCUCCUUCCCUGCCUGUUGCCUCCUCUUCCUGCUGGUCCCGAGGAAACAGGGAGCGAAGGGGGGGAAAUCUCCUCAGUCCUGAAAUUCUUUCACACCUUCAGCAAAUGCAUUUGUACCGGGGGUCCGGCUGGCAGAGGGCCCUCCUGGCUCUCCUUAGCACCCCUGGGAGCACACCGGGCAUUUCCCUGUGCCACCUGGGCCACGCAGUGCCUGGGCUUUGGCUCAGGCAGGAAGCCUUUACGCAUUUGGGGAGGGGGAGGUCGAUUCUGCAUGUGCUUUGGGUUGAAAAUAGGGUACUACAGCGCUGCCUCUGUGCCGAGCCAUUCGCCUUCCCCUCCCUCCCCACCUUCCCUUCCCCACCCGGCCCCCCCACCCCACAGCCAGGUCUCCUUAGCCUCGAUCUACCCCUAGCGGCCGCCGGCGGCCACGGAGCGGCUCCUGGGGCUCGUCCCUCUGUGUGCAGGCUGCUGGAAGCCCUCCGCCUGCCUGCCCAAACCUCUGAGCUUCUGCAGGCUCCCAGAGCCACCGCGGAGCCCUGGAGCAGCACCCCCGGGCAGCCCCCGAUGGCUGCCAGGUUUCGCAGCAGAGCUGUGAGGCUCUCCGAGAUGCUCGGCUGGAGGUGUGCACGGCACCCUGCUCUCCAAAGCAGGAGCUGGCAGACCCACCUGGUCCUCACAACAUGA